rnacentral:lncRNA from 1 species
CUCAUUCCCGACAUGUCCUGGGCUCCGAACGUCUCCUGGGGAGCGGCAUGAUUGAAUCAGGGAUUCCCUAGCCCCAGGUCCCCUUCUCCGUCAUUCUCAGGACGAGGCUGCCCAGUUCUCAGGUUGUUGUGGUGGUAUUACUACUACUCAGCAAGAUUCUGGUUUUACUUCUCAUCUUGGGAGUUACCAUCAAGACGUUAGGUAUGGCUGUGUGACCCACUUUGGCCAAUGAAAUGUGAACAGAAAUGGCAUAUGUCACUUGUGGACAAAAACAUUUAAGCAAGAAUUUCCCUUGCUGUCUUCCUUGACUGGAGCGACCAUGGAAGCCUGUGUUGAGAUGAAGAGGCUGCCAACAGAUCAAAACACUUGAAAACUUGAGCAGCCACAUGGACUACAACUGUGCUGGAGACUUGCCUGGACCCACAGCAGGCUUGGUAUGCAUGGGGAAUAGAAUUUUGUUGUAUUACA